AAAGAAGAAGGAGAAAAAACAGGAGGAGCAGGAGGAGCAGGAAGAGCAAGAAGAGCAAGAGGACAAGGAGGACCAGGAACACCAGGAGGAGGAGAAGGAGAAAUAAUGAGUGAUUGUGUCUACAUUUAUGGAAAGAGUUUGGUGGGGUACUAAUCAUCUUUGAAGAAAUGGGUACUCAAAGAAAUCCUCAUGUAGAGUCACACUGUGCUGUCAUCUGAGACUUCAAGUUCAUUACUGAAUCCAUGCUUCCUCUUCGCAUCGUGAGAAGAUCACUACAGAAGCAUAUCACCACACUUAGCUAGUGGUAUUGUAAAA
rnacentral:lncRNA from 1 species